rnacentral:lncRNA from 1 species
CAGAGGUAGAGAGGCAGAGGCAGAGAGGCAGAGAGGCAGAGAGGCAGAGGCAGAGGCAGAGAGGCAGAGGCAGAGAGAGAGAGGCAGAGAGAGAGAGGCAGAGAGGCAGAGAGGCAGAGAGGCAGAGAGGCAGAGAGGCAGAGAGGCAGAGGCAGAGAGGCAGAGAGGCAGAGAGGCAGAGAGGCAGAGGCAGAGAGGCAGAGGCAGAGGCAGAGGCAGAUUUCUGAGGUGGAGGCCAGCCUGGUCUACAGAGCAAGUUCCAGGACAGCCAGGGCUACACAGAGAAACACUGUCUCAAAAAA